rnacentral:rRNA from 1 species
CCUACGGGUGGCAGCAGUGAGGAAUAUUGGUCAAUGGACGAGAGUCUGAACCAGCCAAGUCGCGUGAAGGAUGACUGCCCUAUGGGUUGUAAACUUCUUUUAUCGGGGAAUAAAGCGAGUCACGUGUGCCUUUUUGCGUGUACUUUAUGAAAAAGCAUCGGCUAACUCCGUGCCAGCAGCCGCGGUAAUACGGAGGAUGCGAGCGUUAUCCGGAUUUAUUGGGGUUAAAGGGAGCGUAGAUGGGCUGUUAAGUCAGUUGUGAAAAUUUGCGGCUCAACCGUAAAACUGCAAUUGAUACUGGCAGUCUUGAGUAGAGUUGAGGUAGGCGGAAUUCGUGGUGUAGCGGUGAAAUGCUUAGAUAUCACGAAGAACCCCGAUUGCGAAGGCAGCUUACGAACGUGUGACUGACAUUGAUGCACGAAAGUGUGGGGAUCAAACAGGAUUAGAUACCCUUGUAGUC